ensembl:lncRNA
CGCCGCCUCAGCGCGGCAGGUAGCGGGCCGGGCAGCAGUCCCCGGCGGGACCUUCGGGCCGGGGCUGGAGAGGAAGGGCAGGUGUGAAAGGAGGAGCCUCUAUGAGCCCCCCGGUAGGCACGCUUGAGCCCGAUUUACCGGCACCCGCCUGUGCCUCACUAGAGGUGAAAAAGGAGCGGGGUGAAUACGGUCCACAUAGGAUUUAACGGCUAGAAGAAAUGUGGCACACAGCAAGAGAAAGUGCCAAUCCUUCAACAAACUCCUCAGCGACAGAGCAAAGGCUUUUUUCCCCACAAACAGAAGUGAGCAGUCUUCCAUGUCCUAUUGAUUCCUUGCUUGUGAAGUCAAGUUGUGUAAAACGUUAUCAGCAUCAUGAAAUAAACACUCCUAACAAGCUUUAUGGAAGAGUUCUAAAC